CUUUGGCGCUCUCUCGUCGUCGCCAAGCCGCGCGCCGAUGGCACUCGGCGGCGCGCAUCCUUUCUUUCCUCUUGAUCGUACCUACCAACCUGUUUUUGUCCUCGUGGACGCAUUCGCUACUAAUCUUUUCGCUGAGCUGAGAAGUAAAGUGGCAAAGAUAAGAGGAAACGAACGAAGAAAGAAAGCGGAGGCGGUGCGCGUGCGUGUGUGUGCUUGCUAAUCAACGAGCUGAGCACGACCUAGUGCAGCCGCAUGUGAAGCCGCUGCGGAGACUUUCGCAACACACGAUCUGCUUCCAAAAGGAGCGCAGAACACAGCUGAUCGACACCGAGGAUUACCUGCUGUCUGUAUCAGUGCCAAGAUGUCCGGGCUGGACAGUAGCGAUGUGCUCUACUACCUGUAUGACCCAAAUCUGGUUCCCCCCGCGCGUGACAAAUACAUCCGAGUCAUUUCAGAGCUCCUUGCCGGGUACUAUGACUCUUCCUACGUGGACAAAAUCGAUAUUAUGGAUAUCUUGCGCGGCGGCGCGAGGGAGGCGGUGGAGCUGUGCGAGGACGCCAAGAGCGUCCUCUCAAAAGAACCCACGGUGCUUGGUCUUUGUGUGAGUGAUGUGGACGAUUUUGUCUUUGUAGGCGACAUUCAUGGGCAGUUCAACGACUUACUACACAGUGUUUUGUCAGUGCAGCUGUCCAGGUCUGCGCCAGUGUUGCGAAAGGGCACUAAGGUAGCUACACAGCCGACACAACGCAUGGAUGGCGAGGAAGACAGCGGUGAACGGAGCUCCACACUGCCCAUCGUCGCGACCCCGACGCUGUCGCCACCCUUGGCACCUUCGCUCUCUAGCACCGCCAUACCGCGCCACCACGACGACAGCGACGGCUUCGGGCGUGACGCGGGAAAGAUCAUACGGUUUUUGUUCCUCGGCGACUACGUUGACCGUGGCCCGCGCGGGCUGGAAGUCAUUGUGCUCCUCCUGGCUCUCAAGAUCGAGUACCCGCAGCAUGUCUUUCUCCUGCGCGGUAAUCAUGAGGAGGCGCAGACUAACCGCCUGUACGGCUUCUUUGACGAGUGCAGAGCGAAGUUCUUUAUGGUGCACCAUGCCCGCGAACACAUGUCUUACUUAGAGCCGGGGUGUGACGGUGCGUGCUCCUCCCUCAUUCAGCGCUCGCCGACAAACGUUGCGAAGGAGGCGAUAGGGGUGGAGUGCCACAAUUCGCCUCCGCACUGUUUGCACCUCGAUGGUGAGCGCGCCACCGAUCUACGUGGCACCUCUGGCAGCAGCCGAGGCAACAACAGCAGCGCAGAGGUGCAGUCCCUCUUAGCCGAUACAGAUGCAGAUGCGUGGAUGUCGUUCAACGCCACCUUCUGCUGGCUCCCGCUGGCAGCCGUCGUUUGCUGCUGCGCGGGGUCCUUUUUCUGCACGCACGGGGGGCUGAGCCCCCCUCUGCGCCGCAUUACCCAGCUGCAUCGCCUCAAGCGCGAGACGUACGGCACCGGGCUGUGCGAGACAAUCACACCGCCGCUGAGUGGCAGCUGCAGCGUAACGAGCAGUCCGGAGCGGUCACCUCGGGGCGUCUAUGGCAGUCCUGCUUCAAAGCGGGAGCCGAACCAGAUUAUUGAUGGCCUCCUCUGGUCCGACCCAUCUGACCACGAGGCAGGAUGUCAGGUAAACGUGCGCGGAUGCGGCUACUCUUUCGGCGUAGACGUCACGCGUCGCUUUCUCGACGCCAACUGCGGUUACGCCGUCUCACAGACACCCUCGCUGCGGACGGAAGUGAACAAGGAUGACGAGGAGAAGCGCUCGUGUCCCGGAUCGGCUCCUCCGAGGAACGCUCAGCACGGCAGGUCUCAGCGCAUGCACUUUAUCAUGCGCGCCCACCAGUGCGUCAAUGCUGGUUUUCAGUGGACCCAGGAGGGAUUGGUGGUGACGUUGUUCUCCGCCCCAAAUUACUGCGGUAUGAACGGCAACAAAGGCGCCAUCGCGAUGCUUCGCGGUGCGGCACAGGCUUCUGGUGAAUCGAUUCGGCUCGAAUUCAAGGUGUACGACAGUUUCAAGUGUGCCUCGUUCACCGGCGGAUCGAAGCUGACCCUCGGCAAGCCCGAGCACAAGAAUAGCGGAAGCAGCCUUUCGGCGACUGGCGGCGCACAGCCACGCUGCCCAGCCUUUCCUCUGCGUGACCGCAACGUUGUGAACAAUCCUAUUUUGGAGGCAUACUUUGGCAGCAUUGCAAAGUCGGGCAACUGAUGUGGCAGGGUGGGGCAGGUAUCUGGUCAUGCGUGCACGCGUGUACGUUUACGUGUGUGUCUGCCCACCAUACCACUUGUUCAACAGGCCCCUGGUCAUGUUCGGCGCAUCCGACUCAACGGCCCGACUCGAAGUUGCCUGUGUUUCAUGCAGUUGUGAGGUUCUGAUCAGGCCAACGUUCGGGCGGAUUCGCUUGUGACUGUAUGUGCACCAUGCGUCGAGAGGAGGACAUGUGGGGUACCGGGUUUCACUAAGGCAAAAGGUUUGCUGUACGCGCGUUCCCCGCACCCUGGACUGCUGUUUGCCUGCUUGCUGCACAUGCGCGAAGCGUGCGUGUGGGGCAGAGACUCUGUAGCGCGCACAUCUGCGCUGUAGAUGCACACUCCUUCUAAUCCCCUUGGUUACGGCGUAUCUCCGUACCAAAGCCGGCCACCCUAACGUGGUGCUACGGCUCAAUUCCCCGCAAUAGGGGACGCCAAGCGCCUGCAAACCUGCCUUUCGAGGUGGGCGAGUGCGGCGUAGGCUCCGGCAGGACAGGCCGUGAGUAGCGACGUGACCACGGUGGGGGCCUGGGCCACUUUUCAUGUAUGCGCUACCCCACUGCCGCUCGUGGUCACGCGCGGCGUCAUCACCCACUCACGCGUCGGGUGAUCGAGCGCUUCUUUUUCAGUUGUGCUCCGCUACCUAUUGCUCACGAUCUGGGUUGCUAUUCCACGUAUGGAAG
rnacentral:misc_RNA from 1 species